rnacentral:tRNA from 1 species
GCCCCCGUAGCUCAAAGGAUCGAGUGCUAGGCUUCGAACCUAGAGAUGAGGGUUCGAUUCCUUCCGGGGGCA